ensembl:lncRNA novel transcript
GCAGAGAAGGAUCAGGAAGGAUCGAUUUGAGGAAAUAACAUGUGAGCUAGACUUUUAAGGAGGCGAAAGAGCCAGCUGCAGAAAGCCAACAAGAGGGGUGUUUAAUGCAAAGAAAAUCAUAAACCGAUCCCUAGCUGGAAAUGAUCCUAACCUGUGGAAGCUCCUGAAUUGAGUGAGGGACCGGCCGGCAGGAGAGAUGGAGUCUCACUGUGUCCCCCAGGCUGCUGUGCAGUGGUGCAAUCUCAGCUAAAUACAACCUCCACCUCCUAGAUUCAAGCAAUUCUCCUGCCUCAGCCUCCCAAGUAGCUGGGAACACAGCAUAACCCAGCUCAUCCUGACUGAUGCCACCAUUUCCAGAUAAGAGAAAUGCGACUGAGAAAGAUUAAGAUAUUUUCUUAAGAUUGGACAUUAUGUUCCUACCCACUGUGCUUGCCUUAUAGUUGAAAGAGAGUUUAUUUAAGCACAGAGAUCAAGCAAGAGUGGAGCACAGGACACACUUUCAGGUUGCCUUGGGGACUGCUCUGUAGAACAAAAAAUCAAACUCAAGAUUUUAAGGAAAACAAGUACAAGUGAAGAGAAGGCAUGAUUACCAAAGUUGUUGAUCUAAUUCUCAUUGAUUUACAGAAAUAACAGUGGCUAACGAUCAGCUAUACAUUGUUGAAUUAUAGGAUGUAUGGCAUUUAAAAAUGUAUUUAUUUAAAACUAAUUUUUUUUAGAUUUUUGAUGGAUUUAGGGGUACAGGUGCAGUUGUGUUACAUGGAUAUAUUUUGUAGAGAUGAAAUCUGGGCUUUUAUGUACAACUACCCAAAUAAGAUACAUUGUACCCAAUAGGCAGCAUUUCACUUUCACCCUCAUUCUAUCCUCCCACUGUUUGGAGCCUCCAAUGUCUAUCAUUCCACUCAGUAAGUCCAUGUCCAUGGUUUAGCACCCAUGUAUAAGUGGGAACAUGCAGUUCUUGAUUUUCUGUUUCUGAGUCAUUUCACUAAGGGUAAUGGCCUCCAGUUCCAUACACAUUGCUGCAAAAGUCAUAAUUUCAUUCACUUUUAUGGCUGAAUAGUAUUCCAUGGUGUAUAUCUACCAGAUUGUUUUAUUCAAUGAAGUGUUGAUGGACACUUAGGUUGAUUUCACAACUUUGCUAUUCUGAACUGUGCUACAAUAAACAUACAAAUGCAGAAGGCUUUUUUAUAUAA